AACGAACGCUGGCGGCAGGCCUAAAACAUGCAAGUCGAGCGGGCAUAGCAAUUUGUCAGCGGCGGACGGGUGAAUAACACGUGGGAACAUGCCCUUUGGUACGGAACAACUCAGGGAAACUUGAGCUAAUACCGUAUGUGCCGGUAACGGGAAAGAUUUAUCGCCAAAGGAUUGGCCCGCGUCCGAUUAGCUAGUUGGUGAGGUAACGGCUCACCAAGGCGACGAUCGGUAGCUGGUUUGAGAGAACGAUCAGCCACACUGGGACUGAGACACGGCCCAGACUCCUACGGGAGCAGCAGUUGGGAAUCUUGGACAAUGGGGGAAACCCUGAUCCAGCCAUGCCGCGUGAGCGAUGAAGGCCU
rnacentral:rRNA from 1 species